GCGGGUGUAGUCCACUGGUAGAACUCCAGCCUUCCAAACUGAUAACGCGGGUUCGAUUCCCGUCACCCGCUCCA
rnacentral:tRNA from 1 species